rnacentral:rRNA from 1 species
AGCAGCCGCGGUAAUUCCAGCUCCAAUAGCGUAUAUUAAAGUUGUUGCAGUUAAAAAGCUCGUAGUUGAACCUCGGGAUCAAUUGAUCGGUCAUGCCAUUGGUAUGUACUGGUCAUAUUGGUUCUCACCUUCUAAGGAACCUUAAUGUCAUUAAUUUGAUGUUUUGGGGAAUUAGGACUGUUACCUUGAAAAAUUAGAGUGUUUAAAGCAGGCUAACGCUUGAAUACAUUAGCAUGGAAUAAUGAAAUAGGACAUCGCACUCUAUUUUGUUGGUUUCUAGGAUCGAUGUAAUGAUUAAUAGGGAUAGUUGGGGGCAUUAGUAUUCAAUUGUCAGAGGUGAAAUUCUUGGAUUUAUUGAAGACUAACUACUGCGAAAGCAUUUGCCAAGGAUGUUUUCAUUAAUCAAGAACGAAAGUUAGGGGAUCGAAGACGAUCAGAUACCGUCGUAGU